GAUGAACGCUGGCGGCAUGCCUAAUACAUGCAAGUCGAACGGAGAAGCCUAACAGAAGAUGCUUGCAUCGGAAGAUAGAUACUUCUCGGUGGCGAACGGGUGAGUAACACGUAGGUAACCUGCCCAUGUGCCCGGGAUAAUUUCUGGAAACGGAAACUAAAACCGGAUAGGUAAUAGAGAAGCAUUUCUGUAUUAUUAAAGAAGCCUCAAAGCUUUGAACAUGGGUGGACCUGCGGUGCAUUAGCUAGUUGGUAAGGUAACGGCCUACCAAGGCGACGAUGCAUAGCCGACCUGAGAGGGCGAACGGCCACAUUGGGACUGAGACACGGCCCAAACUCCUACGGGAGGCAGCAGUAGGGAAUUUUCGUCAAUGGGGGGAACCCUGAACGAGCAAUGCCGCGUGAGUGAAGACGGUCUUCGGAUUGUAAAGCUCUGUUGUGAGAGAAAAAGGAUAUAUAUAGGAAAUGAUAUGUAUUUGAUGGUAUCUCACCAGAAAGUCACGGCUAACUACGUGCCAGCAGCCGCGGUAAUACGUAGGUGGCGAGCGUUAUCCGGAAUGAUUGGGCGUAAAGGGUACGUAGGCGGCAUGAUAAGUCUGGAGUGAAAGGCUACAGCUCAACUGUAGUAUGCUCUGGAAACUGUCAAGCUAGAGUGCAGAAGAGGGCAAUGGAACUCCAUGUGUAGCGGUAAAAUGCGUAGAUAUAUGGAAGAACACCGGUGGCGAAGGUGGUUGCCUGGUCUGAAACUGACGCUGAAGUACGAAAGCGUGGGGAGCAAAUAGGAUUAGAUACCCUAGUAGUCCACGCCGUAAACGAUGAGAACCUAGGUGUUGGGGGAAUAACUCAGUGCCGCAGUUAACGCAAUAAGUUCUCCGCCUGGGGAGUAUGCACGCAAGUGUGAAACUCAAAGGAAUUGACGGGGGCCCGCACAAGCGGUGGAGUAUGUGGUUUAAUUCGAAGCAACGCGAAGAACCUUACCAGGCCUUGACAUCCCUUGCAGAGAUAUAGAGAUAUAUCCGAGGUUAUCAAGGAGACAGGUGGUGCAUGGUUGUCGUCAGCUCGUGUCGUGAGAUGCUGGGUUAAGUCCCGCAACGAGCGCAACCCUUGUGAUAUGUUACCAAUAUUAAGUUAGGGACUCAUAUCAGACCGCCGGUGAUAAACCGGAGGAAGGUGGGGAUGACGUCAAAUCAUCAUGCCCCUUAUGGCCUGGGCUACACACGUACUACAAUGGCGGAUACAAAGGGCAGCGACAGUGUGAACUGAAGCGAAUCCCAUAAAGUCCGUCCCAGUUCGGAUUGGAGUCUGCAACCCGACUCCAUGAAGUUGGAAUCGCUAGUAAUCGCGAAUCAGCAUGUCGCGGUGAAUACGUUCUCGGGCCU
rnacentral:rRNA from 1 species